rnacentral:rRNA from 1 species
CCGACGGUGAGAGACGAAAGCUGGGGGAGCAAACCGGAUUAGAUACCCGGGUAGUCCCAGCCGUAAACGAUGUGCGUUAGGUGUAUCGGUGACCACGAGUCACCGAGGUGCCGAAGAGAAAUCGUGAAACGUACCGCCUGGGAAGUACGGUCGCAAGGCUGAAACUUAAAGGAAUUGGCGGGGGAGCACCACAACAGGUGGAGCCUGCGGUUUAAUCGGACUCAACGCCGGGAAACUCACCAGAUAAGACAGCUGAAUGAUAGUCGGGCUGAAGACUCUACUUGACUAGCUGAGAGGAGGUGCAUGGCCGUCGUCAGUUCGUACUGUGAAGCAUCCUGUUAAGUCAGGCAACGAGCGAGACCCACGCCAACAGUUGCU